GUGUAUUUGCCGUAGAGGGUGAAAUUCUUGGAUUGAUCGAAGACAAACUACUGCGAAAGCAUUUGACCCCAGGACGUUUUCAUUGAUCAAGGUCUAAAGUUAAGGGAUCGAAGACGAUUAGAUACCGUCGUAGUCUUAACCACAAACUAUGCCGACUAGCGAUUGGGUCUGUUUAUUAUGACUGACUCAGCAGCUUAGCGAAAGUAAAGUUUUUGGGUUCUGGGGGGAGUAUGGGACGCAAGGCUGAAACUUAAAGGAAUUGACGGAAGGGCACCACCAGGAGUGGAGCCUGCGGCUUAAAUUUGACUCAACACGGGGAAACUCACCAGGUCCAGACAUAGUAAGGAUUGACAGAUUGAAAGCUCUUUCUAGAUUCUAUGGGUGGUGGUGCAUGGCCGUUCUUAGUUCGUGGAGUGAUUUGUCUGGUUAAUUCCGAUAACGAACGAGACCUUAUUCUGCUAAAUAGGCAGGUCAACUUUUUAGUUGAUUAAUUUAUUUAUAAAUCUGGCUUCUUAGAGAGACUAUCGGCUUGCAAGCCGAAGGAAGUUUUAGGCAAUAACAGGUCUGUGAUGGCCCUUAGAUGUUCUGGGCCGCACGCGCG
rnacentral:rRNA from 1 species